CUUGGUGCUGACCCAUUGUGGUCUCAUACCGUCUUGACUGUCCUGGCUUCUCUCCGUUUUGCAUGGACAUUUGGGCAUCCUUCUUGUGUGCUCUGCUCGCCAGAGCCGUGGACGGCCUUCCUGCUUUGAUGUCUUCUUUGUGCUCUCCUAUACUUUUGGCGGGCCCUCUCUUGGUGCUGCCUAUGUGGUGUUCUGUCUCCUCUCAGUCAUUGUUGUGUAUGGGAGUCUCAUAUAUUCCUGCUUUUUUAUUGUUUUCUAUCUUAUCCUUGUCAUUGCAGAGUAUGCUAAACAGAGACAAUCCUCUCUUUCUUAUCGUAUCACCAUCUUUUCGCUUUGUCUCCC
rnacentral:lncRNA from 1 species